CCUGCUUAGACUGCUGCCUCCGCGAUCCGGCCCCGGAUAAGCGGAAGAAAAUGGAAUGGAAUAUUACUUUGGAACAAAGGGUAAUGGAAUGGAAUGGAAAUGGACCAAUCACAAUUUUUCUUCCAGUGGUAUCUGGGUAAAUCAGUGACUUCCCCUGCAGACACUGAACGAAAGAAACACCUGCAUGGAUCUGUUCAAACAGCUGAGUGCGGGGACAUCGCCGGGCGCACGUGUCUGGAUCAUGGAGGUAUCAGAUCAGAUCCAUGGUCUGGAUCGUGGAUCUAUCAUGGAAAUUUUGAUCCAUAGAAUCUAUUAAAAUAACUGGACAUGCAAGAGGAGGCUAAACUCUGUGAAAGUGCUCCUCUCCUCCUCUUCCUCAGUACGGGGUGAAGAGGAUGGGUCCGUGUGCAGUGCGGAUAGGUCCUGGGGCAGGCCUCAGCAGGCUCAGUGGUGCCCCCUGCAGCAGGUGGGGAUGAGCUGCAGGACCUGGAGGACGAAGAGCCAAUUGGUUUGAAGAUGCUGCUGCCGCCAUUGCUGCUGCCACUGCCAGAGGAUUGGGCAUGAGGCCAGGCCCGAGAGGCUUUGGAAGUUCCUUUGUGAAAAUACACAAAAUGAUCAAAGCUUGAUUGAACUCACAGCUGAGAUCUGCUGAGACCCCCAGACUGAGAAUAGAGCUCUGAAGUUCACAGUACACCCUACUGUGUCCUUGUGUGUACCUCUGAGUUGAAGCGGAUUUGGCAGACGUUACAGGAGAUGAUUGGUCGUUUGGUUUUGAGCAGCGGAGGUCCGAAUGUGUGCGUCAUCACAGCCUUCUGCACUGGGUCCAUCUGAGGAGAGACAGCACACAGUCAUCAGCUAAAAAGUAUCUUUUACCUUGAAAAUUACCACUUCAUGACAUCUCAAGGUGGAACAGAGUAUUCUGAGCUUUGGAG